AACGAACGCUGGCGGCGUGCUUAACACAUGCAAGUCGAGCGGUAAGGCCCUUCGGGGUACACGAGCGGCGAACGGGUGAGUAACACGUGAGCAAUCUGCCCUCCACAUCGGGAUAACCCCCGGAAACGGGAGCUAAUACCGGAUACGACCACUUCAGGCAUCUGAUGGUGGUGGAAAGUUCCGGCGGUGGUGGAUGAGCUCGCGGCCUAUCAGCUUGUUGGUGGGGUAACGGCCCACCAAGGCUUCGACGGGUAGCCGGCCUGAGAGGGUGACCGGCCACACUGGGACUGAGACACGGCCCAGACUCCUACGGGAGGCAGCAGUGGGGAAUAUUGGACAAUGGGCGGAAGCCUGAUCCAGCAACGCCGCGUGAGGGAUGACGGCCUUCGGGUUGUAAACCUCUUUCAGUACCGACGAAGCGCCGAUGAUGGUGGUGACGGUAGGUACAGAAGAAGCACCGGCCAACUACGUGCCAGCAGCCGCCGUAACAC
rnacentral:rRNA from 1 species